UACGUAGGGUGCAAGCGUUAUCCGGAAUUAUUGGGCGUAAAGAGCUCGUAGGCGGUUUGUCGCGUCUGCUGUGAAAACUGGAGGCUCAACCUCCAGCCUGCAGUGGGUACGGGCAGACUAGAGUGCGGUAGGGGAGAUUGGAAUUCCUGGUGUAGCGGUGGAAUGCGCAGAUAUCAGGAGGAACACCGGUGGCGAAGGCGCCACUCUGGGCCGGAACUGACGCUGAGGAGCGAAAGCGUGGGUAGCAAACAGG
rnacentral:rRNA from 1 species